GACGAACGCUGGCGGCGUGCUUAACACAUGCAAGUCGAACGGAAAGGCCCUGCUAUUGUGCGCUGCCCGAGUGGCGAACGGGUGAGUAACACGUGAGUAACCUGCCCUUCAUUUUCGGAUAAGAUCACGAAAAUUACCUUAAUACCGGAUCGCAGCCCCUCUACCUGGGUGUGGCGUGGAACGUUUCGGCGUGUGGGGAUGGGUUUGCGGCUUAUCAGUUUGUUGGUGGGGUAGUUGCUUACCAAGGCUUUGACGGGUAGCCGACCUGAGAGGGUGACAGGCCACAUUGGGACUGAGGUGCGGCCCGUAGUCGUAUGGGAGGCAGGAGUGGGGAAAAUUGCACAAAGGGAGGAAGCCUGAUGCAGCAACGCCGCGUGCGGGAAAACGUCCUUCGGGUUGAAAACCACUUUCGCCUGUAACGACGCGUGAGUGACGGUAAUCGGUAAAGAAGCACCGGCUAACUACGUG
rnacentral:rRNA from 1 species